AUGCAAGUCGAACGCAUGGAUUGGUUCGCUGGGGCCAUGAGUGGCGCACGGGUGAGUAGCGCGUGGGAACCUGCCCUGGAGUGGGGGAUAACCGAGGGAAACUUCGGCUAAUACCGCAUACGCCCCGGUCUUGAGAGAGAUUGGGGGAAAGAUUUAUCGCUCCAGGAGGGGCCCGCGUCGGAUUAGCUAGUUGGUGGGGUAACGGCCUACCAAGGCGAUGAUCCGUAGCUGGUCUGAGAGGAUGAUCAGCCACACUGGGACUGAGACACGGCCCAGACUCCUACGGGAGGCAGCAGUGGGGAAUAUUGGACAAUGGGGGCAACCCUGAUCCAGCAAUGCCGCGUGAGUGAGGAAGGCCUUCGGGUUGUAAAGCUCUUUCGCACGCGACGAUGAUGACGGUAGCGUGAGAAGAAGCCCCGGCUAACUUCGUGCCAGCAGCCGCGGUAAUACGAAGGGGGCGAGCGUUGUUCGGAACUACUGGGCGUAAAGGGCGCGCAGGCGGCGAGUUUUGUCAGGCGUGAAAGCCCCGGGCUCAACCUGGGAAUUGCGCUUGAAACGGGCUUGCUUGAGACCGGGAGAGGA
rnacentral:rRNA from 1 species